CACGUAGGGUGCGAGCGUGUCCGGAAUUAUUGGGCGUAAAGAGCUCGUAGGCGGUGUGUCGCGUCGGCCGUGAAAACCUGCAGCUUAACUGUGGGCUUGCGGUCGAUACGGGCAUCACUGGAGUUCGGCAGGGGAGACUGGAAUUCCUGGUGUAGCGGUGAAAUGCGCAGAUAUCGGAAGGAACGCCGGUGGCGAAAGCGACACGCUGGGACCUUUUCU
rnacentral:rRNA from 1 species